rnacentral:rRNA from 1 species
UACGUAGGGUGCAAGCGUUAAUCGGAAUUACUGGGCGUAAAGGGCGCGUAGGCGGUCGUGACAAGUCACUUGUGAAAUCUCUGGGCUUAACUCAGAACGGUCAACUGAUACUGUCGGGCUAGAGUGCAGAAGGGGCAACUGGAAUUCUCGGUGUAGCGGUGAAAUGCGUAGAUAUCGAGAGGAACAUCGGUGGCGAAAGCGGCGCGCUGGAUCCCUUCUGACGCUGAGGCGCGAAAGCCAGGGGAGCGAACGGG